CCUACGGGAGGCAGCAGUGGGGGAUAUUGCACAAUGGGGGAAACCCUGAUGCAGCGACGCCGCGUGGAGGACGAAGUUUUUCGGUAUGUAAAGCCCUUUCAGCAGGGAAGAAGAAAUGACGGUACCUGAGUAAGCAGCACCGGCUAAAUACGUGCCAGCAGCCGCGGUAAUACGUAUGGCGCAAGCGUUAGGCGGAUUUACUGGGUGUAAAGGGAGCGCAGGCGGCACGGCAAGCCUGAUGUGAAAGCCCGCGGCCCAACCGCGGGACUGCGUUGGAAACUAGCGGGCUGGAGUGCCGGAGAGGUAGGCGGAAUUCCUAGUGUAGCGGUGAAAUGCUUAGAUAUUGCGCAGAACUCCGAUUGCGAAGGCAGCAUACCGGCGGCGAUCUGACGCUGAGGCACGAAAGCGUGGGUAUCGAACAGGAUUAGAUACCCUAGUAGUC
rnacentral:rRNA from 1 species